rnacentral:lncRNA from 1 species
AUUUUUUUAUCAUUUUAUUUUUUAUUUUAAUUUUUUUUUCUUUUUCAUUUUUUUUCUUUCCACUUUAUUUUCUCUCUUCUAUUUCUCUUUUUUUUUCUUUUUCGUUUUCUUUUUUUUCUUUUUCAUAUCUUUUUUUUCUUUUUCUAUUUUUCGUUUUCUUCUUCUUUCUUUUAUUUUAUUUUAUUUCUUUUUUUCUUUUAUUUUUAGACUUCUAUUUCUCUUUCUUCCUUUUUUUUCCUUUUUCACUUCUCUUUUUUUCGUUUUUUCUUUUUAUAUAUUUUUUUAAUUCUUCUAUCUCUAACUUUUAUUUUGAAAAGACAAAUAUGUAUAUCACAUACAAAUAUUCAAAAAAUAUAUAAAAUACACAGCCUAACAGCAAUACAGAUC